GUAGGUGGCAAGCGUUGUCCAGAAUUAUUGGGCGCAAAGCGCGCGCAGGCGGUUCUUUAAGUCCGAUGUGAAAGCCCACGGCUCAACCGUGGAGGGUCAUUGGAAACUGGAGAACUUGAGUACAGAAGAGGAAAGCGGAAUUCCACGUGUAGCGGUGAAAUGCGUAGAGAUGUGGAGGAACACCAGUGGCGAAGGCGGCUUUCUGGUCUGUAACUGACGCUGAGGCGCGAAAGCGUGGGGAGCAAACAGGAUUAGAUACCCUGGUAGUCCACGCCGUAAACGAUGAGUGCUAAGUGUUAGGGGGGUUUCCGCCCCCCUUAGUGCUGCAGCUAACGCAUUAAGCACUCCGCCUGGGAGUACGGCCGCAAGGCUG
rnacentral:rRNA from 1 species